CGCUCUCCCCGCUCCGUCUCAUCGCCGGUCUGAGCUUUCAGCAUUGGCAAAGGAUAAAAACUGCUUUUCGCAAGACGCAGCGAAACACGACGGUGGUGGAAGAGCUAAGCUGAGUUGUGGGAACACCUCAAGGACAGCAGCGCUGUAAGAAGUGGUUGUGAGCCGUGGUCAUACAGGUGACAGACAUACAGUGUCCAGCUAGCCUGUCAAAUCUGAUUUGUGCCCUGGGGAGCUAAAGAAAAACAGAACUACACAAUAGACAACCUACCAGUCGACAAACUGCCAGAUUUCUCAGUGCGUUUAGAGACGAGAGACGAGAACAGCGAGGGAUAAAAGCUGUCCGGAGCUGCCUUUGUCUCCUCCGGGCCCUUCACCUUUGGAGAGAAGAACCUGUGACUAGCUCAAACCGGCAAGUUGACCCUCGGAGACUAAACUCCAUCCAACAGUCGAUGCGGAGCCUGAAGAUCAGAGACCAUGACUCAUAGCUUGGUUCCGCGACACCACUCCUCAUCAGCCUUAGCCUCGAAGACCUAAGAUGGGGACCGCACCUGCUGCCAUGUGGGCUGUACAGCUGUGAGAACCCCCCUCUCGGAGAACCCCCUUUUUUUCCUUUUACCCGUGUCACUGUGCUCGGAUCUCACUCUCACUCUCUCUCUUUCUCUUUCUGUCUCCUUUUUCUUUUUCUUCUCUUUCCCCCAAAGCAGCCUGUUCCUUUUCUUUCAUUUGACA